GCCUGGGUGGCUCGGUUGGUUAAGCGUCUGACUUUGGCUCAGGUCAUGAUCUCAUGGUCCGUGGGUUCGAGCCCCAUGUCGGGCU
rnacentral:tRNA from 1 species